rnacentral:rRNA from 1 species
GACAGAGGUGCCGAGCGUUAGGCGGAAUCACUGGGCUUAAAGCGUGUGUAGGCGGACUUCUAAGUACCUUGUGAAAUCCCACGGCUCAACCGUGGAACUGCUUGGUAUACUGGUCGUCUUGAGCCACUUAGGGGCAGUCGGAACAGACGGUGGAGCGGUGAAAUGCGUAGAUAUCGUCUGGAACGCCGAAGGUGAAAACAGCUCGCUGGGGCUGCGCUGACGCUGAGACACGAAAGCCAGGGGAGCGAACGGG